GGCGACAUCGUCUAGUGGUCAGGACAUCGGAUUUUGAUUAUUGCUAUCAUUCCGGAAGCCUGGGUUCGAUCCCCAGUGACGCCU